rnacentral:rRNA from 1 species
GAUGAACGCUAGCGGGAGGCCUAACACAUGCAAGCCGAGCGGUAGAGUCUCUUCGGAGACUUGAGAGCGGCGCACGGGUGCGGAACACGUGUGCAACCUGCCUUUAUCUGGGGGAUAGCCUUUCGAAGGGAAGAUUAAUACCCCAUAAUAUACUGGAUGGCAUCAUCUGGUAUUGAAAACUCCGGUGGAUAGAGAUGGGCACGCGCAAGAUUAGAUAGUUGGUGAGGUAACGGCUCACCAAGUCAGCGAUCUUUAGGGGGCCUGAGAGGGUGAUCCCCCACACUGGUACUGAGACACGGACCAGACUCCUACGGGAGGCAGCAGUGAGGAAUAUUGGACAAUGGGUGGGAGCCUGAUCCAGCCAUCCCGCGUGAAGGACGACGGCCCUAUGGGUUGUAAACUUCUUUUGUAUAGGGAUAAACCUAGAUACGUGUAUCUAGCUGAAGGUACUAUACGAAUAAGCACCGGCUAACUCCGUG